CCUACGGGAGGCAGCAGUGGGGAAUCUUGCGCAAUGGGCGAAAGCCUGACGCAGCAACGCCGCGUGAGCGAAGAAGGCCUUCGGGUUGUAAAGCUCUGUCAGGAGGGACGAAGCCACUCGGGUGAAUAGCCCAGAGGGUGACGGUACCUCCAAAGGAAGCCCCGGCUAACUACGUGCCAGCAGCCGCGGUAAUACGUAGGGGGCGAGCGUUGUCCGGAAUCAUUGGGCGUAAAGCGCGUGUAGGCGGCUCGGCAAGUCCGGUGUGAAAGCUCGAGGCUCAACCUCGAGUCUGCAUCGGAAACUGCCCUGCUAGAGUCCGGAAGAGGAGACUGGAAUUCCUGGUGUAGCGGUGAAAUGCGCAGAUAUCAGGAAGAACACCGGUGGCGAAGGCGGGUCUCUGGGACGGUACUGACGCUGAGACGCGAAAGCGUGGGGAGCAAACAGGAUUAGAUACCCUGGUAGUCCACGCCGUAAACGAUGGGCACUAGGUGUGGGAGGUGUCGACUCCUUCCGUGCCGAAGCUAACGCAUUAAGUGCCCCGCCUGGGGAGUACGGCCGCAAGGCUAAAACUUAAAGGAAUUGACGG
rnacentral:rRNA from 1 species